rnacentral:rRNA from 1 species
UACGUAGGGGGGCUAGCGUUGUCCGGAAUCAUUGGGCGUAAAGCGCGUGUAGGCGGUUCGGUAAGUCCGCUGUGAAAGUCGGGGGGCUCAACCCUCGAAUGCCGGUGGAUACUGUCGGACUAGAGUACGGAAGAGGCGAGUGGAAUUCCUGGUGUAGCGGUGAAAUGCGCAGAUAUCAGGAGGAACACCAAUUGCGAAGGCAGCUCGCUGGGACGUUACUGACGCUGAGACGCGAAAGCGUGGGGAGCGAACAGG